rnacentral:pre_miRNA from 1 species
AAUAUACUCCCUCCAUUCGGAAUUACUUGUCACAAAAAUGGAUGUAUCUACAACUAAAAUACAUCUAGAUACAUUCAUUUCUUGGACGAGUAAUUCCGAACGGAGGGAGUAGGUC